rnacentral:rRNA from 1 species
GACGAACGCUGGCGGCGUGCUUAACACAUGCAAGUCGAACGGAAAGGCCCUGCUUGCAGGGUACUCGAGUGGCGAACGGGUGAGUAACACGUGGGUGAUCUGCCCUGCACUUCGGGAUAAGCCUUGGAAACUGGGUCUAAUACCGGAUAGGAGCCAUUUUUAGUGUGAUGGUUGGAAAGUUUUUUCGGUGUAGGAUGAGCUCGCGGCCUAUCAGCGUGUUGGUGGGGUAAUGGCCUACCAAGGCGGCGACGGGUAGCCGGCCUGAGGGGGUGGACGGCCAAAAUGGGAAUGAGAAACGGGCCAAGAUCCUACGGGAGGCAAGAGGGGGGAAUAAUGGACAAUUGGCGCAAGCCUGAUGCAGCGAAGCCGCGUGGGGGAUGACGGCCUUCGGGUUGUAAACUCGUUUCGCUAGGGACGAAGCUUUUUGUGACGGUACCUAGAUAAGAAGCACCGGCUAACUACGUG